ensembl:lncRNA
CUCCCAACAGCCACAGUGAUUUGUUCAGGGGCGGGUCCAUGCUGGGCCAAUGAGAGGCCUCCUUGGAUGGCAGCUACUCUUAGCUAUUACGAGAGUUUUAAGUUAUCUGGAAUUGCUAAAGUGGUAGAAUCAAAAGCUGAAGCUCUUGGUGGCCAUCUGGUCAUUCUGUGGAAUUAGCUCCCCUGAAAGUGAAGCCAAUACCAUAGGAAAUGGAGAGAGGAACGUAGAAGAUCCGCAGUCAAGCACCCGAAUCCAGCGGUGGUGGGGACACACAGAAGAAUCGGAGCAGACCUAGCCCCGGGGAGCUCACAAUCUUGGAGGGAAGGAGGCUGACUAGAAUGAGCUGCAUGGACAUACCCUUGCCAGUUGUCUUCCUAUUAGAUUUGGCCAAUGCCAGGCACCAGCAGAAGAUUGAAAGGAGGAGGAAGGAUGAAACUGAAUUUCAACAAAAUCAAGUAGCUUGCCCAAGGUCAUCACACUUAUAACUGGCAAGCGCAGAUUCAAACCCAGGUCUGAGUCUGAAUUCCAGUACACUUUACUGCUGCCUUCCUCACUAAUCUUGGGUUGUAAACAUUCAGACCUUGUCUGGGGGAAUCCAAGCACCACAAAGAUCUACUUCCUCACAGCCCCCCAAAUGCCUUGAUGAAGCCCAGGAAACCCAGACCCUCCUGAGCAGAGAGAAGGCAGCUGGUUGGCCAUCUGUCCACCAGGGCCCCGUUUCCCCUGCUGUACCCCACAGUGCAGUGGGGCCUGGAGAACCCACCUCAUUGGGCAGGGCGCUCAUCCUCAGCAUGGGGAGCCCCUCUGUGUACUGGUUUUUUGGAGGAGUGUUGAGGACACAUGUCAGACUGCCUAGGUCUUCGAAAUGCUUUCCAAAGGGUAUCCCAGCAACAGUACUGGUCCCUGGCCUCCUGUUUCACCUGGACAACAAGACUGACCUCAUCUCAUGGGCCUCCCCACUCAUCCUGCGAGUGCCCAACUGCAUGCUCUGGAAUUAUUCUUGGCUUGUAUAAACCAUUGUUGUAGUGUUAGUCACUCAGUCGUGUCUGACUCUCUGCGACCCCAUGGACUGUAGCCUGCCAGGCUCCUCUGUCCAUGAAAUUGUCCAGUCUAGCCUACUGGAGUGGGUUGCCAUUUCCUACUCCAGGGUAUCUCCCUGACCUGGGAAUUGGACCUAAGUCUUCUGUGGCUGCCCUUGUGGCUCAGACGGUAGAGUCUGCCUGCAAUGUGGGAGACCCAGGUUCUA